CAGAGUUGCAAAACUCCCAACCCUUUGUGAACGUACUGAAAAGUUGCUUCGGCGGGAGGCUCCUCAGGGAGCGGACCGCCGGAGGAAUCCAAACUCUUGUUUUUUGGCAUCUCUGAGUAGCUUAUAAAUAAGUU
rnacentral:misc_RNA from 1 species